rnacentral:rRNA from 1 species
UACUGGAUACGAAGCGCCUCGGCAUCGGGUGCGCUUGGAAAGUUUUUCGGUCAAGGAUGGACUCGCGGCCUAUCAGCUUGUUGGCGGGGUAACGGCCCACCAAGGCGUCGACGGGUAGCCGGCCUGAGAGGGCGACCGGCCACACUGGGACUGAGACACGGCCCAGACUCCUACGGGAGGCAGCAGUGGGGAAUAUUGCACAAUGGGCGAAAGCCUGAUGCAGCGACGCCGCGUGAGGGAUGAAGGCCUUCGGGUUGUAAACCUCUUUCAGUAGGGAAGAAGCGAAAGUGACGGUACCUGCAGAAGAAGCGCCGGCUAACUACGUGCCAGCAGCCGCGGUAAUACGUAGGGCGCAAGCGUUGUCCGGAAUUAUUGGGCGUAAAGAGCUCGUAGGCGGUUUGUCGCGUCUGGUGUGAAAACUCAAGGCUCAACCUUGAGCUUGCAUCGGGUACGGGCAGACUAGAGUGCGGUAGGGGUGACUGGAAUUCCUGGUGUAGCGGUGGAAUGCGCAGAUAUCAGGAGGAACACCGAUGGCGAAGGCAGGUCACUGGGCCGCAACUGACGCUGAGGAGCGAAAGCAUGGGGAGCGAACAGGAUUAGAUACCCUGGUAGUCCAUGCCGUAAACGUUGGGCACUAGCCCUGGGGCUCAUUCCACGAGUUCCGUGCCGCAGCAAACGCAUUAAGUGCCCCCGCCUGGGGGAGUACGGCCCGUA